AGAGUUUGAUUAUGGCUCAGGACGAACGCUGGCGGCGUGCCUAACACAUGCAAGUCGAGCGGAUCAGUCCCUUCUCCUCGGAGAGGGGGCUGGUCAGCGGCGAACGGGUGAGUAACACGUGGGUAACCUACCCCGAAGACCGGGAUAACCCCGGGAAACCGGGGCUAAUACCGGAUACCUUCCCCUCGCCGCAUGGAGGGGGGAAGAAAGGUUGGCUUCGGCCUUCCGCUUCGGGAUGGGCCCGCGGCCCAUUAGCUAGUUGGUGGGGUAACGGCCCACCAAGGCGACGAUGGGUAGCCGGCCUGAGAGGGUGUCCGGCCACACUGGGACUGAGACACGGCCCAGACUCCUACGGGAGGCAGCAGUGAGGAAUAUUGCGCAAUGGGCGAAAGCCUGACGCAGCGACGCCGCGUGGGGGAUGAAGGCCUUCGGGUUGUAAACCCCUGUCAGGAGGGACGAAGCGGCUUCGUGCCGUGACGGUACCUCGGUAGGAAGCCCCGGCCAACUACGUGCCAGCAGCCGCGGUAAGACGUAGGGGGCGAGCGUUGUCCGGAAUUACUGGGCGUAAAGAGCUCGUAGGCGGCCUGUUAAGUCGGAUGUGAAAGCCCCCGGCUCAACCGGGGAAUUGCAUCCGAUACUGGCAGGCUAGAGUCUGGUAGAGGGAGGUGGAAUUCCCGGUGUAGCGGUGAAAUGCGCAGAUAUCGGGAGGAACACCGGUGGCGAAAGCGGCCUCCUGGGCCACGACUGACGCUGAGGAGCGAAAGCUGGGGGAGCGAACAGGAUUAGAUACCCUGGUAG
rnacentral:rRNA from 1 species